CCAAUAAAUCUCCAAUUAAUUAGUUUUGCCAUUUGCAAAGAUUUCAUUUUUCCAGCAGAGGACUUUUUAUGCAGGCCACAUAAUGGUUAUUGUCUCUUGGAAUUACUUUUAGCUGAGUUCAAGCUUGAUAAGUCCGAGAAGCUUUUCCAUAUAUAGUUAGAAAGCAGUCAAAUAUAUCUUUUCUUAUACAGAAACUUUAA